rfam:Desulfosporosinus orientis DSM 765, complete genome.
GAGGGUAGGUCCCUUGGAACCGGCAUGCAGGUGCAGGUUUCAAACCACCAUAGGGUGCUGCAAUCAAAAGUUGUGGUGCUGAACGCGUAUGCUAUAGCAGUCAGGU